rnacentral:tRNA from 1 species
ACUUAAAUAGUUUAAUUAAAAUAUUAGUUUGUGGGGCUAAAGAUAUAGUUUUAUUUUAGGUA